rnacentral:rRNA from 1 species
GACCCUACGGGACGCAGCAGUGGGGAAUAUUGCACAAUGGGGGAAACCCUGAUGCAGCGACGCCGCGUGAGUGAAGAAGUAAUUCGUUAUGUAAAGCUCUAUCAGCAGGGAAGAAAAUGACGGUACCUGAGUAAGAAGCCCCGGCUAACUACGUGCCAGCAGCCGCGGUAAUACGUAGGGGGCAAGCGUUAUCCGGAUUUACUGGGUGUAAAGGGAGCGUAGACGGCGAUGCAAGCGAGAUGUGAAAGCCGGGGGCUCAAC